CACCCUUACACAGACAUACGCCUAGGCAAAACACCAACACACACAAAAUAAAAUAAAAAAAGCAAAACAGAAGGGCCUAGGCCUGGCCCAGGAUGAUGUGGUAGAUGAUGUGGUAGACUUUGGGGAGCCCCUUUUGAGGGCCUUACCCUGUCUGGGGAGUGGAGGGGGGGAUGGCUAGGGGCAGGUGGGAUGUUGGGGGGGAGGGGAGGAAGAGGGAGAGGGAGAGGGAGAAAGGAUUGACAUCUGAAGCAAGCAUGUUCCUAAUUUGAACUAAUUAAAUUAAAUUAAAAAAAAAGCAAAACAAAAAGCAGAGUUUGUGUCAAGUCAGGCAAGGGUGUGGCUGCUGGCCAGAGACCCAGGUGUCACUGACACCUUGCUCUGGGAACUCCCAGCACCUCUUCCCAGGUGUCAGAUGCUGGUUUGUUUGUGUUGUCCACAGUGAAAGCUCAUUGGAGGGGCUCACAGUUGAGAAGGUCCCAGCCCUGUGGCUGGGAUUUCCCCUCUCUGCCUUGAGUUUCCUUGAUCUGAUUAUCUUGGGCUUGUCUUGCUGGGUGACUCAGGCGCUUGAGCAAGUUUAGGUACUAGGUUUCACAGCUCUGGGGGUGGGGAAACCUGGUCUCUCCUGGGAAAUAGUCAUUAGAUAUUGACAAAAGCAUCACUGUCAGGCUCCAGCUUCAGAAAAAGACUCUCCAAGCCUUGAUUCUUAUCAAAUAAAGUAACAAUACCAUCAUCUAGUGCAGGACUUCUCACCCUGGGGUCCACCACACACACACACACACACACACACACACACACACACACACACACACACAGGCUGCAUAUCAGAUGUCCUGCCUAUCAGUUAUCUACAUUAAGAUUCAUAACAGUAGCUAAAUUGCAGUUAUGAAAUAGCAGCAAAAUGAGUUUAUGGUAUGUGUGUGUGGGGUCACCACAACAUGGAGAACAGUAUUAAAGGGUUACAGCUCUAAUGGGCUAUUGAGAGAUUGUAACAUUGCCAAGGAAAGGCUCUGCGGCCCAGAGGCCGGUCUGUGAGGUGAGCUUUCACCAUUUGUCUUUUGCCAGGACGAAGGUGAGAGUCUGUCAGAUGAAAUCGCUUGCCUGGGGCAGCUAGCAAAUAACUUCCCACAUCCCAUGUCCGGAACCACUAUGCGCCCUGCUCUUCUAAGAAUGUCUCCAGGAGACCCAGCCAAGACUACGGCUGAGGACCAAGUGUCCCCUUCCAAGAAGCUGCUUUUCCGCUAGUUGGGCUGACAGGGAAGAGAUGCGCCUCUAAGCUGCUUCUGAGGCGCCCAUCACUGGAAGACCCCUUGUGGUAGCCUCCUCUACACAGCUUAGAUAAAGAGUCUAUUAGCUUCCCCAGAGCGGGUUCUGGAAGCUGGAUCUGGCACGAAGCAGAAGUCAGCCCCUCAGCGGUGCCUCUUCCUUCAGCCUACCAUCCUCGCCCCUCCCACUGGAUUCCCGACACUGGAUUUCUCUCGCCAGCGUCCCUGAGCCCAGGGCACAGGAUCAUUUCUUCCUAAACUGUCCCUGGAGCCAGGGCAGUUAUGCAUCCUGCCCGCCACUGUUGUCAGUGCACACUUGCAGAGGUUUCUGUGGAAUUCAGGCUUCAGUAAACACUUGAGAAGGAGGAAGUGGGCCAAGAAAUCCGAGGACGAUUGCAUCAGGACUGGCGCACACUGCCCUUUCCCAUCUCCGUCUCUGAGAAGCCCUCCCUCUUUGUCCUGGAGGGGCGGGGAGGCAAUUAAGGCCUUGGACCAUCCCCUGGCCUUCUCUGGGCCCCCUGGUCUAGGGGAGAGGCUAAUGCUGGUGAGGAGGGGAACGCUGAAGAUGGGCCUCAGGUGUGAAUUGUAUGUGGCCUUCUGGACCUGGAGUUUGAAAGCUGCAGAGGGCAAAAGUGAAAGAGUCCAAAAAGGCUGGGAAGCUGUGUUUCUGGAGAGGCAGCCAGAAGCCAGGCUCCAUACACGUGAAACAGUAACUGCGGUGCCAGCUGCAGUCCAGCUGCGGAAACAGUGGCUGCUUGGUCAGGGGCGCUGAUUCGGAAGCAGCCACCUUUUGUAUACUGACCCUGCUGGUUCAUAUGCCGUAUCUUAGAAUCCCAGCAAGACUCCUCGGGAUUGGUAUGAUUAGGACCAUCCUUUUACAAGUAAAGACACUGAAGAGUUGAAGUUCAGAGCUAUCUAAGGUUACCAAGUGGAGUUUUGGAUAGUCUGGGUCUGUGUGCUGAGUGUGAAUGUUUUGUGUGUGUGUGUGUUGUUUUUUGUUGUUGUUUUGUUUGUCUGUUUGUUUUUCCAAGACAGGGUUUCUCUGUAGCUUUGGAGGCUGUCCUGGAACUCGUGCUGUAGACCAAACUUGGCCUGGAACUCACAGGGAUCCGCCUGCCUCUGCCUCCUGAGUGCUGGGAUUAAAGGCGUGCACCAUCAUUUCUCAGAUGGUUGUUUUUCUAGGCAGGGACUUGCUGAAAAUUCCAGGCUGGCUUCAAACUCAUUACCCUCCUGCCUUGGUCUCCCCAGUCCCAGGAUUAUAGGAAGCACCCUUAUGCCUGGCUCUUCUCACGCUUAGUUUUGUUGAGCCCACAUACCUAACUCCUAAGUGCUUGGCUUUUCCUGAGUCCCUCUCAGUUCAGUUUGGGUUUUACAUCUUUCUGUUUUCCCAGGAAUCGAGAGAGACAGCACCUAGAGAGGCCUGGUGGCAGGGUGAGGUUGGAUUGCUAGUUCAAAGAGAGCCUGGGCUAUGCAGUGAGACACCAUCUCAAAAUGAAAAAAAAAGAAAAAAGGUGUGUGUGUGUGUGAAUAGCUCAGCUUAGUAAUGCAGAGCUUGCUAGUGAGCUUCAGGCCUUAAAUUCAAUCCCAGGUACAGAGAGGGGGGACCAGUACCUGCUUUGUUGCUUUUCAUUCUGGCUCAUAUUAUCUGUCCUCUUGACUUUCCCUCCAAUCUGCCAGUACUUGAGCCAGGGCAGGUUUGAAUGAAGACACAUGGAUUCCUGGAGGAGUUGCAAAUUUGAACCCAGGUCUAUUGGGCUCCAUCAAAGCUUUUUCCAUCCAUCCUCUGCCUCCAUUCUAGGUGCCUUGGCCAGUGAGGUCUAGUAGAGGAACGGAGAAACAAGGAGCCAAGGAAGCAGGCAGAGGAGAUCAGGAUCCUGUCCCCUCUUCUCUUCUUCCAUUUUACAGAAGCCGGGGAGAAAUAUGAAAACUCAACUGUGCCCUGCACCAGCCUCCGCCCCCAAGUUAAGGAACACAAAAGGUGAGGGUAAUACAAAAGUGUCACCAUGGUAACAGCAGUGCCAGGUGUGUUGGGGAAUACUUAGUUUCUGGAGCUUGGAGGAGAAGGCCUGCCCAGAGCCUGGCUGAGGAGCUACAGGGAGCAGCAUUUCAUUUGUCCUCCGUAAUGGGACAUUAUGGGAGACGUUUGCUUUUCAUUGCCUCCAUUUUCUUCUAAGUAGAAGGGGAGGAAAAAAACCAUUUUCCUUCCUUUCCCACCUACUCAGAGAAAUGCCAGGAGACGUGAGCAUUCCCUUCAGAGCCGCCGCUGGUCAUGAAACCCCAUCAUCACUUAAAUCGCCCUAUUUUAAAGGUUUGUGAAAACUGCACCAAAUUGAUUUUCCCCUCAUCUCUUCCCUCUGUGAUUUCUGCGGUCUCUCUUCUUUAGAACUGCAUUUCCUCAGAGCAGGACAGCAAGUGUAGAUGGAUACUUGAGGAUCUGUUGCAAAGGAUUUGGCUUGAAGAUUCUAAACUCUAUUUAGCUCCAGGCCUUAAUCACUGCGGAGCUGAGAAUUUUAUAAUCACAAAGAUGGAAGAAUCCUAGAGGUCAAGUGGCUCAGAGAUUCUCCAAUGUUUAGACUUUAUCAAAAUUUAAAGUUUGGAAAAUGAAGAGGGAGAUGUCUAAGAGCUUUUAAGUCUGGAAAAACACAACUAUCAAAUAAACGCAACUAUCUUGUGUGGCAACUGUCACUUUACAUUUGUAGACUCAAACAGGAGGAUGGUUACAUUUUUACAUUAGUGAGGCGGCCUUAAACAGAAGAAAUUCAACACACACGUACACACUUUGAGCAGGGACAUGGUGGCACAUGCCUGUAAUCCCCAGCACUUGGAAGGUGGAAGCAGAAGAAUCAGGCACUCAAAGUCAUCCUCAGUGACACAAUAAGUUCAAGGCCAACUUGGCUUUAUGAGAUGAAAAAAAUUCACCACUAUUGGUAUUUUUCUUAUUUCAUGCAUUAGCUCCAGACAGA
rnacentral:lncRNA from 1 species